rnacentral:misc_RNA from 1 species
GGUUGAUUCUUUUGCCAAUUGGCUGAAAAAUGGUCAGGAGACGCUACGGCAGAUAGGAAGUCUCCCUGACCCUCCGUUGUCAUUGAUGCAAUAUAAUCUAGAUGAGAAGGAAAGGUUCAGAGAUUUGCGAGCUCAGAAGAGUCUGAGUACCAUUGGCCCAAGCUCCGAAGAAGUCAGAGAGUAUUUCCGUAAAGAGGAAUUCCUUAGGUACUCAAUACCUGACAGGGC